rnacentral:rRNA from 1 species
AUUGAACGCUGGCGGCAUGCUUUACACAUGCAAGUCGAACGGCAGCGGGGAGGAGCUUGCUUCUCUGCCGGCGAGUGGCGCACGGGUGAGUAAUACAUCGGAACGUUUCGAGAAGAGGGGGAUAACCACCCGAAAGGGUGGCUAAUACCGCAUAAAUUCUGAGGAAGAAAGCUGGGGACCUAGGAAUAGGCCUAGCGCUUUUUGAGCGGCCGAUGGCGGAUUAGCUAGUUGGUGAGGUAAAGGCUCACCAAGGGGAAGAUCUGUAGCGGGUCUGAGAGGAUGAUCCGCCACACUGGGACUGAGACACGGCCCAGACUCCUACGGGAGGCAGCAGUGGGGAAUUUUGGACAAUGGGGGCAACCCUGAUCCAGCCAUGCCGCGUGUAUGAAGAAGGCCUUAGGGUUGUAAAGUACUUUUGUUAGGGAAGAAAAGUCAGCUGUGAAUAAUGGCUGAUACUGACGGUACCUAAAGAAUAAGCACCGGCUAACUACGUG